AACGAACGCUGGCGGCAUGCUUAACACAUGCAAGUCGAACGAGACCUUCGGGCCUAUUGGCGCACGGGUGCGUACCGCGUGGGAACCUGCCCUUAGGUUCGGAAUAACUCUCCGUAAGGGAAGCUAAUACCGGAUAAUGUCUUCGGACCAAAGAUUUAUCGCUCUUGGAUGGGCCCGCGUUGGAUUAGCUAGUUGGUAGGGUAAAAGCCUACCAAGGGGACGAUCCAUAGCUGGUCUAAGAGGAGGAUCAGCCACACUGGGACUGAGACACGGCGCAGGCUCCUACGGGAGGCAGCAGAGGGGAAUAUUGGUCAAUGGGCGAAGGCCUGAGACAGCAAGGGCGCGUGAGUGAGGAAGGCCUUAGGGUUGUAAAGCUCUUUUACACGGGAUGAUAAUGACAGGACCGGGGGAAUGAGCCCCGGCCAACUCCGGGC
rnacentral:rRNA from 1 species